rnacentral:lncRNA from 1 species
GGAAGGUGAAGUGACUCUUUUAAGUCGGUAAUUGUGCAAAAGUUGUAUUGAUACUGUGAGCACAUAAUCUCAGUGAUUAUCGUUUGGAUUUAAUUUUUAUCAUUUGCAUGGUGUGAUGCAUUUGUAAAAAAUUAUUUGAGUAAAAUAGUGAAUGCCUUUGGGUCUGAGAGAUUCAAAACCAGAUAACUUGAAGUAUAUAGAUAGUUCUUUUAGCUAGGUCAUGUAUGAAAAGAAAUAAUUUGCC